GUGGGGAAUAUUGGACAAUGGGCGAAAGCCUGAUCCAGCAAUGCCGCGUGAGUGAAGAAGGCCUUAGGGUUGUAAAGCUCUUUUACCCGGGAAGAUAAUGACUGUACCGGGAGAAUAAGCCCCGGCUAACUCCGUGCCAGCAGCCGCGGUAAUACGGAGGGGGCUAGCGUUGUUCGGAAUUACUGGGCGUAAAGCGCACGUAGGCGGCUUUGUAAGUUAGAGGUGAAAGCCCAGGGCUCAACCCUGGAACUGCCUUUAAGACUGCAUCGCUUGAACACGGGAGAGGUGAGUGGAAUUCCGAGUGUAGAGGUGAAAUUCGUAGAUAUUCGGAAGAACACCAGUGGCGAAGGCGACUCACUGGACCGUUGUUGACGCUGAGGUGCGAAAGCGUGGGGAGCAAACAGGAUUAGAAACCCCAGUAGUCC
rnacentral:rRNA from 1 species